AUGAGUAUUCUCAGCUGGAACUGCCGGGGCCUAGGGCAGUCCCGGACAGUUCAAGAGUUGGUGUGCCUCGUGCAGACCUACCGCCCCCGGAUCGUCUUCUUAUCUGAAACAAGGCAAUGUGAGGACAAGGUAAAGGCAAUAAAAUGGAGACCAGGGCUGAAGCAUUGUCUUACCCAUGAUGGUAAAGGCAAAGGAGGCGGCAUUGCUUUGUACUGGGAUGAUUCAAUAAAUUGGCGGGGAACUUUUGUCUAUGGAGAACCACGUGCACAGGACCGUCACCACAUGUGGUCUCUUCUCAAGCGGAUCCGACCAAAUGCGAGUGAACCUUGGAUGAUGAUUGGCGAUUUUAAUGAAACCAUGUGGCAAGCUGAACAUUUUUCUUGCUCUCGAAGAUCGGAAGGGUAA
rnacentral:rRNA from 1 species